rnacentral:Y_RNA from 1 species
AGCUGGUCCGAAGGUAGUGUAUUAUCAGAACUUAUUAACAUUAGUGUCACUAAGGUUGGUAUACAACCAUCCACUGCUAAAUUUGACAGGCUUAAA